CACCGCGGUUAUACGAGGAACUCAAGUUGACAAUUGCCGGCGUAAAGCGUGGUUAAACAUAUUAUUAUACUAAAGCCGAAAACAUUCACAGCAGUCAUACGCAUGAAAGUAAUAAGACCACUUACGAAAGUAGCUUUAAAAUAUUUUGAAUCCACGAAAACUGGGAAACAAACUGGGAUUAGAGACCCCACUAUGCCCAGUCUUAAACACAGACGGGACGCCACGUCCCCGUUCGCCCGGUAACUACGAGCUCACCAAAAUUCAAGCUUAAAAACCAAAGGACUUGGCGGUGCUUCAAACCCCCCUAGAGGAGCCUGUUCUAUAACCGAUAAUCCCCGUUAAACCUCACCCUUCCCAGCCCAAUUCCAGCUUAUAUACCGCCGUCGUCAGCUUACCCCGUGAGGGCCAACCCCAAAAGUAGGCGCAAUUGGUUUAUCCCCAGCAAGUCAGGUCGAGGUGUAGCCUAUGGAGGGGGAAGAAAUGGGCUACAUUCUCUACAGCAGAGAAUACAGAGGAUCGUCCUGAAACAAGACAUCCAAAGGUGGAUUUAGCAGUAAGGAGGGGAACAGAGCGCCCCCCUGAAGACGGCCCUGAAGUGCGUACACACCGCCCGUCACUCUCCCCAAGCACGAUCGUAAUAAUUUAAAUAAAACAAAAGAAAAGCACAGGGGAGGCAAGUCGUAA
rnacentral:rRNA from 1 species